GACGAACGCUGGCGGCGUGCCUAAUACAUGCAAGUCGAGCGCAGGAAACUGACGGAACUCUUCGGAGGGAAGGCAGUGGAAUGAGCGGCGGACGGGUGAGUAACACGUAAGGAACCUGCCUCAAGGAUUAGGAUAACUCCGAGAAAUCGGAGCUAAUACCGGAUAGUUCAUCGGACCGCAUGGUCCGUUGAUGAAAGGCGCUCCGGCGUCACCUUGAGAUGGCCUUGCGGUGCAUUAGCUAGUUGGUGGGGUAACGGCCCACCAAGGCGACGAUGCAUAGGCGACCUGAGAGGGUGAUCGGCCACACUGGGACUGAGACACGGCCCAGACUCCUACGGGAGGCAGCAGGAGGGAAUCUUCCACAAUGGACGAAAGUCUGAUGGAGCAACGCCGCGUGAGUGAUGAAGGUUUUCGGAUCGUAAAACUCUGUUGUAAGGGAAGAACACGUACGAGAGGAAAUGCUCGUACCUUGACGGUACCUUACGAGAAAGCCACGGCUAACUACGUGCCAGCAGCCGCCGUAA
rnacentral:rRNA from 1 species